rnacentral:rRNA from 1 species
GGUCAAGUUAUUAAGGGUGCAGGGCGGAUGCCUUGGCACUAGGAGCCGAUGAAGGACGUGAUAAGCUGCGAUAAGCUUCGGGGAGUUGCACGUAAACUUUGAUCCGAAGAUUUCCGAAUGAGGAAACUCACUUAGAGUAAUGUCUAAGUAUCAUUAAGUGAAUACAUAGCUUAAUGAGGGGAACUCAGGGAACUGAAACAUCUAAGUACCUGAAGGAAGAGAAAGAAAUUCGAUUCCGUAAGUAGCGGCGAGCGAACGCGGAUUAGCCCAAACCAAUAAAGUUUUCUUUAUUGGGGUUGAGGACAUACCACAUAUAAGAGGUCAUUAUAGACGAAGAAGUUUGGAAAAACUCAUCAUAGAAGGUAAUAAUCCUGUAGUCAAAAUAAUAAUUCUUUAGGUAUGAUCCAGAGUACCACGGGACACGUGAAACCCUGUGGGAAGCAGGAGGGACCACCCUCCAAGGCUAAAUACUACCUAGUGACCGAUAGCGUAUAGUACCGUGAGGGAAAGGUGAAAAGAACCCCGGGAGGGGAGUGAAAUAGAACCUGAAACCCUGCACUUACAAGCUGUGGAAGCACAUUUCUUGUGUGACCGCGUACUUUUUGUAGAACGGGCCAACGAGUUACGUUAAGUAGCAAGGUUAAGCACUUAAGGUGCGGAGCCGUAGCGAAAGCGAGUUUUAACUGAGCGUUCAGUUACUUGACGUAGACCCGAAACCGGGCGACCUACCCAUGAGCAGGAUGAAGCGAAAGUAAAAUUUCGUGGAGGUCCGAACCCACGAGCGUUGAAAAGCUCGGGGAUGACUUGUGGGUAGCGGUGAAAUUCCAAUCGAGCCCGGAGAUAGCUGGUUCUCCCCGAAAUAGCUUUAGGGCUAGCCUCAAGGUGAGAGAUACGGAGGUAGAGCACUGAAUGUCCUAGGGGGUAUUGCACCUACCGAAGACUAUCAAACUCCGAAUGCCGUCAUCUUAUACUUGGGAGUCAGACUGUGGGUGAUAAGAUUCAUAGUCGAAAGGGCAACAGCCCAGAUCGUCAGCUAAGGUCCCUAAAUGUAAGUUAAGUGGUAAAGGAUGUGGGAUUGCACAGACAACCAGGAUGUUGGCUUAGAAGCAGCCACUCAUUCAAAGAGUGCGUAAUAGCUCACUGGUCGAGUGAUCCUGCGCCGAAGAUUUCCGGGGCUAAAACUUACUACCGAAGCUACGGCAUCAGUAAUGAUGGGUAGGGGAGCUUCCCAUACGGGUUGAAGCAUGACCGUAAGGACAUGUGGACAGUAUGGGAGUGAGAAUGUUGGCAUGAGUAGCGAGAUGUGGGUGAGAAU